rnacentral:lncRNA from 1 species
GCGCAUACAUGUUUUAAUAGGUUAACAUACAAUGGAAUAUUCAAACGUAUCGUUUCAACAAUCUGACGAGGAAGUUUAAGGAAUUAAAAUGUCACCGCCAUUCAGAGCUGUAAAGCUGUGAACAUAACAGUUUGUCUAAAGACACAGUAUGGUAAUAUUUGAUGCCUAGAGCUUAUUUUCCAGUUAUUUCCUUGUAGGCUCAAAAUAUGACGUCAACAAUUUAUUCUCCACAAUUACUUUAUUGACG